rnacentral:tRNA from 1 species
GAUUCAACUGAUGCGAUACGGCCUGCAAAGCCGUCUAGACGGGUUCGACUCCCGUCCUCGCCUCCA